GGCCGUUGAGUUACGUGAUCCUACGUGAGUUUGGGCAGGGAGAAGAGCUAGCAGAUCCCGGAUUUACCACCCGUGGCUAUCCAAGGCCGCGCCUGCGCAGAAGACAGCAAUGGUUGGGGACAGGUUUAUUUAGCGGAGUUUUGGUCUUCAGGUUGCUGGAAGCUGAAUUUUCGAGCACUCCCGGGUGCUGCGUUUGGCCAAGUCUUGGCUUAGGGCACGGCCAAGCUCCUGCUGCAAAGAGGCGAUGUUAAGCCAAUUACAUGAAAUACAAGUUCACUUCAAUUUCAAGAUCAUCUGGAUUUCAGAACUACAGAUCUGACCCAUACAUAUCCUUGUGCCAAGGGACUGUCUUACAGAAGUGAGAGGCUCUGCGGUCCUGUGACAUCCCCUCCAAGCCGAGCAGCCAUCUCUACCACGCGGCCGC
rnacentral:lncRNA from 1 species